AACGAACGCUGGCGGCAUGCCUAACACAUGCAAGUCGAACGAGACCUUCGGGUCUAGUGGCGCACGGGUGCGUAACGCGUGGGAACCUGCCCUUAGGUUCGGAAUAACUCCCCGAAAGGGGUGCUAAUACCGGAUAAUGUCUUCGGACCAAAGAUUUAUCGCCUUUGGAUGGGCCCGCGUUGGAUUAGCUAGUUGGUAGGGUAAAAGCCUACCAAGGCGACGAUCCAUAGCUGGUCUGAGAGGAUGAUCAGCCACACUGGGACUGAGACACGGCCCAGACUCCUACGGGAGGCAGCAGUGGGGAAUAUUGGACAAUGGGCGAAAGCCUGAACCAGCAAUGCCGCGUGAGUGAUGAAGGCCUGAGGGUUGUAAAGCUCUUUUACCCGGGAUGAUAAUGACAGUACCGGGAGAAUAAGCUCCGGCUAACUCCGUG
rnacentral:rRNA from 1 species